UUCUGAGCAGCAUCUGACAUGCUUGGAGAAAUGGAAGACCUUGAGAACAGGAUUGAAGCUACAAAAAUGCAUUGAUCAUGUCAAUCAAACAGUGGACAGAGAGAAAAGGAAAUGGAGGGAUAUUUUGCAUCGCCUUUUGGAUGUAACUUUGUUUCUGGCUCACCAGAAUCUUCCCUUUCGUGGUCAUAGAGAGACCAUGUCAUCCACAAACAAAG